AGAAUCAACGCUGGCGGCGUGCCUAACACAUGCAAGUCGCACGAGAAAGGGGAGCAAUCCCUGAGUAAAGUGGCGCACGGGUGAGUAACACGUGAAUGAUCUACCUCCGAGUGGGGAAUAACUGAGAGAAAUCUUAGCUAAUACCGCAUAACACUUACGAGUCAAAGCAGCAAUGCGCUUGGAGAGGAGUUCGCGGCCGAUUAGCUAGUUGGCGGGGUAAUGGCCCACCAAGGCGAUGAUCGGUAU
rnacentral:rRNA from 1 species